UCAAUUUGUAUUGUAGAAACUGGAAUUUAAAGUGUUGUUGUCUUAUGGAGUUUAUUCGUUUGCGAGUUGUGUAACAGUUCCAAUGUCUUCAUUUUCAUAUUAAUAAAAAUUGCCCAGUUGAAAUAAAUUGCAUACUUCUGGAGACGAUCCGCUAUCCUCUAUGUCAUUUUUUACAGAAUCUAGAAGAAAAAGGUACACAACCCUACGGAAAUAGUCGUCAGUAUCAUGAUAAUGGAAAUUAAAUGUCCCAUAAGUAAUUAACCAAUCUACCCAUGGCUCCAUGUGUUUGUCUGGAUACGAUUCUGGGGUAUUUAAUUUCUAUAUUGUAGUUCUUCAGCUACGCUUUCUUGGACCACUCAUUGCAUCAUGCCGUGAAUCUUUCCCCAGAAUCCGCUUUUGAGCACCUUCUGAAGACUUGAUUUUGCAAUAAUAUACUCAACUUUAUAAAAAAAUUCCAAUUGAAUUUAAAAUUUGAAUUUAAGUAGUGAUUUGAGUGCUCUCGCCCUUAACAAGUUGAAUGAACCCAUCGGUUAUGCAAAAUUACCACAUGCCAUUUCUGGGUUAAUUACAUAUUACCUAUGCAUAUCCCAGUUAGAAGCAAUCGUUGACCUGCAGAUAUAUUAAAAUGCCUGUAACAUUAUAAACAAAUUCUGCUGACAAUUGCGAGUGCAAAAUUAGAUGCAAAAUUGGCAAAAACUUAAGUGCAUUGUCCGUAGUGUCCAGCAAAUGGCACAUAUCACCUGAACAGUGAAUCGAAGAAUCAGUUUAAUUCCUGCUGGUGAGCAGGAAACCGAGUUUCGUGCUGCAAUUCUAGCGGUACUUUGCCCUUUUUUCCUGCUGAAAGUGCAGGAUGCCUUGUUGCAUGAUCGCGAUCGUGUGGGUGUUUUUUUUAUAAAGCCCUGCUCGAUGUUGCCAAUUGCUGAAAUCUUCCUUGGAAAAACCUGAUGACUACGAUUGACUAUGAAAACGUUCUUCAGUCUGGCUACUGCGUCACAUAUCACGAAGAUUUAAAACCGUGUGAUGUGACGUAGUGGUAAGUUUGAGGGAAUAGACUUCUUGUACUUCAAGCGCUACAAAUGGUGGAUUCAGUUGCAUUCAGCCAAUUAAAUUUCAAAGAAGAAAUUUAAUUUAAAAUUCAUAGCACUACAGAUUGCAAUAAGAAAAAAAUAAAUGCCUGUUUAGGUGGGCAAUUUGUUCCUUGGGAUACUUUCCAUGCAAUUACAAAUGUUAAUAUGUAGUUAUAAAUGUAAUUAUUUAAAUUGUUGGUUCUAAAUAAAGUCUGCAAAUAUUCCGCUUGUUGUAGCAACUGGUGAAUCAGUCGAGUUUUUAGGGAGACGUGAAUUAGAAUUUCUUCCUGACGUUUCGCAAAAACAACUCGCUUGCAUCUUCAAAGAUGGUUUGCUCGGAAGCCCAUCAGUACUUGUGCUUCAAAAUCUUCAAGACGAAAUUAUAAUUUACCACGGCUCGCCAGAUUUAGAAGAGAAAUCCCAGUUUCACUUUUUUAUUGUUAACUUUUGAUGAAUUUCACGUUUUCUUAAUAAUUUUGGUAAUUUAUUAAAUAAAUCGUUUCUAUGUUAUUUAGUUGAGAAAA